UACGAGAGGGGCAAGUGUUGUUCGUAUUGACUGGGCGUAAAGGGCAUGUAGGCGGUUAACUAAGCAUUUUGUUAAAUGCUGUUUUUUAUACAGAAAAACUUUUUGUACUAGUUAACUCGAGUUGAGCUCAGGAGCAUAGAAUUCUUUUUUAGGGUUAAAAUCCGCCUGAAAAAAUGAAAAAUGCCAUUUUAGUGAAGACGUUACUCUGGAGCCAACUGACGCUGAGGUGCGAAAGCGUAGGGAGCAAAUAGG
rnacentral:rRNA from 1 species